rnacentral:misc_RNA from 1 species
GAAAUGCGAUACGUAAUGCGAAUUGCAGAAUUCAGUGAAUCAUCAAAUCUUUGAACGCAAAUGGCGCUCUCGGGAUAGGCCUGAGAGCACGCCUCUUUGAGUAUCGAUUCCACCACAACCAGUGAACUUGUUUGCUGGGAUUCUUGAGUGUUUUACCUCGGUAAUCACUUUAAGCGUAAUAGGUUGGAUUUGACUUGAUGCUGAUCUCUCUCACGAGAAGUCUAGCUUAUUGGUCACUGAUUCAAUGAAACAUAACAUGGAUAAACAUCUAAUGUGAUGUGGUAGUUGGAUCAAUAUCAUGCCAGUAAGUGAACACAUCAUAUCAGAUGGCCUUCACAACACCCUCUUAAACUAUUGAAAUUAGAUCUCAAAUGAAGCGAGAAAACCCGCUGAACUUAA